rnacentral:rRNA from 1 species
UACGUAGGGAGCGAGCGUUGUCCGGAUUCAUUGGGCGUAAAGAGCUCGUAGGCGGCUUGGCAAGUCGGGUGUGAAAACUCCAGGCUCAACCUGGAGACGCCACCCGAUACUGCCAUGGCUAGAGUCCGGUAGGGGACCACGGAAUUCCUGGUGUAGCGGUGAAAUGCGCAGAUAUCAGGAGGAACACCGGUGGCGAAGGCGGUGGUCUGGGCCUUACCUGACGCUGAGGAGCGAAAGCGUGGGGAGCGAACAGG